AUUGAACGCUGGCGGCAGGCCUAACACAUGCAAGUCGAGCGGUAGCACAGAGAGCUUGCUCUCGGGUGACGAGCGGCGGACGGGUGAGUAAUGUCUGGGAAACUGCCUGAUGGAGGGGGAUAACUACUGGAAACGGUAGCUAAUACCGCAUAACGUCGCAAGACCAAAGUGGGGGACCUUCGGGCCUCAUGCCAUCAGAUGUGCCCAGAUGGGAUUAGCUAGUAGGUGGGGUAACGGCUCACCUAGGCGACGAUCCCUAGCUGGUCUGAGAGGAUGACCAGCCACACUGGAACUGAGACACGGUCCAGACUCCUACGGGAGGCAGCAGUGGGGAAUAUUGCACAAUGGGCGCAAGCCUGAUGCAGCCAUGCCGCGUGUGUGAAGAAGGCCUUCGGGUUGUAAAGCACUUUCAGCGGGGAGGAAGGCGGUGAGGUUAAUAACCUCAUCGAUUGACGUUACCCGCAGAAGAAGCACCGGCUAACUCCGUGCCAGCAGCCGCGGUAAUACGGAGGGUGCAAGCGUUAAUCGGAAUUACUGGGCGUAAAGCGCACGCAGGCGGUCUGUCAAGUCGGAUGUGAAAUCCCCGGGCUCAACCUGGGAACUGCAUUCGAAACUGGCAGGCUAGAGUCUUGUAGAGGGGGGUAGAAUUCCAGGUGUAGCGGUGAAAUGCGUAGAGAUCUGGAGGAAUACCGGUGGCGAAGGCGGCCCCCUGGACAAAGACUGACGCUCAGGUGCGAAAGCGUGGGGAGCAAACAGGAUUAGAUACCCUGGUAGUCCACGCCGUAAACGAUGUCGAUUUGGAGGUUGUGCCCUUGAGGCGUGGCUUCCGGAGCUAACGCGUUAAAUCGACCGCCUGGGGAGUACGGCCGCAAGGUUAAAACUCAAAUGAAUUGACGGGGGCCCGCACAAGCGGUGGAGCAUGUGGUUUAAUUCGAUGCAACGCGAAGAACCUUACCUGGUCUUGACAUCCACAGAACUUAGCAGAGAUGCUUUGGUGCCUUCGGGAACUGUGAGACAGGUGCUGCAUGGCUGUCGUCAGCUCGUGUUGUGAAAUGUUGGGUUAAGUCCCGCAACGAGCGCAACCCUUAUCCUUUGUUGCCAGCGGUUAGGCCGGGAACUCAAAGGAGACUGCCAGUGAUAAACUGGAGGAAGGUGGGGAUGACGUCAAGUCAUCAUGGCCCUUACGACCAGGGCUACACACGUGCUACAAUGGCAUAUACAAAGAGAAGCGACCUCGCGAGAGCAAGCGGACCUCAUAAAGUACGUCGUAGUCCGGAUUGGAGUCUGCAACUCGACUCCAUGAAGUCGGAAUCGCUAGUAAUCGUAGAUCAGAAUGCUACGGUGAAUACGUUCCCGGGCCUUGUACACACCGCCCGUCACACCAUGGGAGUGGGUUGCAAAAGAAGUAGGUAGCUUAACCUUCGGGAGGGCGCUUACCACUUUGUGAUUCAUGACUGGGGUGA
rnacentral:rRNA from 1 species